rnacentral:rRNA from 1 species
UACGGGGGGGGGCAAGCGUUGUUCGGAAUUACUGGGCGUAAAGGGCGCGUAGGCGGUUGGAUAAGUCAGCUGUGAAAACCACGGGCUUAACUCGUGGCCUGCAGUUGAGACUGUCUGGCUUGAGUGUGGGAGAGGAGAGUGGAAUUCCUGGUGUAGCGGUGAAAUGCGUAGAUAUCAGGAGGAACACCGGUGGCGAAGGCGGCAUCCUGGACCAACACUGACGCUGAGGAGCGAAAGCCAGGGGAGCAAACGGG